rnacentral:rRNA from 1 species
AUUGAACGCUGGCGGCAGGCUUAACACAUGCAAGUCGAGCGGAGUGAUGGUGCUUGCACUAUCACUUAGCGGCGGACGGGUGAGUAAUGCUUAGGAAUCUGCCUAUUAGUGGGGGACAACAUCUCGAAAGGGAUGCUAAUACCGCAUACGUCCUACGGGAGAAAGCAGGGGAUCACUUGUGACCUUGCGCUAAUAGAUGAGCCUAAGUCGGAUUAGCUGGUUGGUGGGGUAAAGGCCUACCAAGGCGACGAUCUGUAGCGGGUCUGAGAGGAUGAUCCUGCACACUGGGACGGAGACACGGCCCAGACUCCUACGGGAGGCAGCAGUGGGGAAUAUUGGACAAUGGGGGGAACCCUGAUCCAGCCAUGCCGCGUGUGUGAAGAAGGCCUUAUGGUUGUAAAGCACUUUAAGCGAGGAGGAGGCUCUUUUGGUUAAUACCCAAGAUGAGUGGACGUUACUCGCAGAAUAAGCACCGGCUAACUCUGUGCCAGCAGCCGCAGUAA